rnacentral:lncRNA from 1 species
UUUUUUUUUGUAUGUGAGAGAUAAUCUGAGAGCUUCGGGUGCAUAUAUCUCUGAAAAAAAACCAAAGAGACGUUACUGUAAAAGCAGUUGCAGAAAACUGCCUUCCAGCCACAGCUACAGCCGGCGGACCUACCAAUCGCUCCAUCAGAUAUGGUCACUAGCAGACGGACACGGUAUUGUCUGUGGCAUUAUUUUGGGGGCCCGUUUUAUUAUGAAACACUAGGGUGUUUCUAAGCCACCCAACAAUCAUUUUUUUACCACUAGAUAAAAUUAUACCGCUGGCUUCAUUUUCAAUCUCCAAACGCUCUUCUUUCUCAAACUUUCUUCCAUAGCGUCGAAUCAAUUGAGAAUGUGAAACCCAGCUUCGCCGACCUCCUCCCAUCUCUUCACACUGUUGGAUCUACAUAGUGCUAACCCAAUCAUUGUGAAUCCUCCAUCCUGCCAUUGCCCACCAGGUCUCUUCCUCCUCCCACGAUUGGCAACAACUGCCGAUCGCCCAUCCUACACCUACUACCACCGACAAAGUGGCGUACUUUCUCCUAGCAUUCCCUUUGGGCUCGAGGAUCAACGAUCCUCUCCAAAAACUCCACGCCCUCCUCUUUAUCCAAACCCAGCAAUCUCCUAAUCCAGCAACCCUAACUUGAUGAGCACGACACUAGAGAAAUAGGACAUUUGGUCAGGGUUCCUGGAAUCAAAGCAAGAAAUUGAAAUUGAAGAAAGGAAGAAAUAAAUCAAGGUGGUAGAGAAGGAUGAAACACUAUCGACCCGCCACCUAGGUAUUCACUAAUUAUCCUCCCGGCACUUCCGACAUCACGACUUUCUGUAUGCUAUCCGUCAUUCUGACAACCUCCGUGCCCACUCGUCCCCGCGGAAAUAUAGGUGACCAGGUAACCAACUAUAGAUUGAGUUGACUUAAAUGCAGAAGGUAAUUUGGGGGGGGGGGGCUGCAAACCGUUGAAUAAUAUGCUUAUGUGAGGAAAACCAGUCAUCCUAUACAUCCUACCGAUUUUUUUUCAUGUAAUUACCGCAAAGCUUCAACCAUGUUGAGUGUGCUAUCACGUCGCCAGCAACUUUCCUUUUUGAUCGAUUUCUUUAGCGGCAUGUGAAAGCGAUUUUGUAUCAAUCAACAAAAUAAAAAAGGAAAAUAUACGAAAUACGUUUUCCUAUGUGGCGCCUACGUGGACAUAUACGACGUAACACCGGGGCGAGAAAUUCUCCUGGCCCUCGGGUUGCGCUGCUACGCGCACCCCGCGCCGCCCACACGAAAUCCCCCGCUUUCCCUCUAUUUAUACACACCAAUACGGCGAUAUAAAACAUACUCCUCAGCCCCUUCUCUCCCAAGUCCCACCCCGCGCCUCGCCGGAGCUCCGCCGCCGCCGCCGCCACACCGCCCUCCGUUUCCGCCGCCGCCGCCGACCAGCCAUCGAAUGCCCUUGGAGGCGCCCCUCGACGCCGCAUCUUCUUCAGGCCGAGGCUUCCACGCCGCGAGCCCCGUGCAUCCCCACGGUGUUCGGAGGAAGAGGAGGUGGUCGGCGGCCGCCGGGGAGGAGCCCAGGAGAUGAGGGCCGCGCGGGGGGUGGCGCGCGUGCGCCGGGAUGUGCUCGCCGCGCGCAUGACGUGCCCGCUAUGCCAGGGACUCCUCAGGGAGGCCACCGCCAUAACCCACUGCCUCCACACAUGUGAGUCCUCCCUCCCUCCCUCCCGCUCUGUCUCUCUCUGUCCCGUUCGCUCGUGCUCCCUCGCCGCGCCUGUCUCUGCCCGCGCCCGCGCCGGAGGCGGCCAUGGUUUCCCCGCGCCGUCCCCCGCGUGGGCGCUCGUCUCCUCGCGCCGUGUCGCGUCGCGUUUGCGUCCUUUUGGUUUUGGUGUCGGAUUCUUUUCGUUCUCUCGUUCGGGUGCCCCCGGCGAUCGAGCUGGUGUCCGAUGCGAGUUCUUUGAUCCCAGGAGGGUGGCGAGCGCGCCGCCUUUCUCGUGGAUUGUGGCUUCGGUCGCGCUCCCCCGCGUGUUUGCCCGUGAUGGCCACCUCGCGCCGCGUUCGCGUUUGCUUCCCCGUGGCUGGCUUUGCUGUAGGAGCUCAACUGGCCAUGGGCGCCGGGUUUUCGUGCCCGGCGUCGCCGGCUAUGGUUCCUUCCACGUCUCCGUGCAUCCUAGCGUUUCCUCUGCCUGUUCUCGACGAUCCCGAGGUGCCCUGUGGCGCCUCUUGAUCUUCACGAGGUCCAAAAGCCGCGGGCUUUGUCCUGGGCUGGGUCUGCUCUGCCGACGCGGAGCCACUCGCCGGCUGCCUCCGUCUCCGUGGUUUCUUUGUUCUCGCUAUCGCUUCCUCCCGCGAAGGCUCGGGGGCCUCGGGGCUCGGUUCCUCGCCGCCGGCAUGCUCCUUAAUCCUUAUCUCGUUCGAGUGUUCUCGGUUCUUGCUCUUCCGAGUUGGCAAUGCCGCAAAGGCGCGGCGUCCAGGCGGCUGGCAGGUCUCAUCUAUCACCGCCGCUGCAGGGCAGACUACUCGCAGUCUGAACUCGGCACAACCUGCUGGGAGCCUGGAUCGGGUGCCGCGGUUUACCAUUAGGCCCUGAGCAUACCAUCGGCGGUGACCGCCAGUACCACAUCCUUAUGGUCAUGGCGACAUGGCCCGGCCUCCCGUCCGCGAUUCCUGACAGGGUGAUCGAACAACAUUUAGUGCACCAACGCCUUGCGGACCGCGGAGCUUUUAGUGCUAGGGGAAAAGGCUGUAAAGCGUCGGUCACUUGUUGCAGAAUGUAUGGGGUGUGCUGCAUCGAGGCACUCUAGUAGCUUCUGUGAGUUUGGUAAUGGUGGGGGAGUUUGGACUUUGGAGAUGGUGCCAUUCUAGCCUAGUUCUGAUCAGAAACGUGGUGUCCGAUUAGCUCGAGUCCUUGUGCUUAUGAUUGUAGAAUGGCAGUUUGGAAUUCUGUUGGAUGCUAUGAUUGUCCACUGCCUUCUAUAUAUUUGUGGAUGGAGUUGGGGCUUGUGUAAGGAAAUUAGCCAAAGUGUUCAUUUUGUAGGGUGGAUGGUAGUCUUUAGCGUUCUUGAUCGUUAAAAUAUUUCUUAGUUUCAUUGCAUAUUGGUGUCUUGAACAAUCUCAACAAAAGUCAGGCAAUGCUGCUGCACCCUAAAUGUAGUGUUGAUGUCAGGCAUGCUGCAGAGAGGCAUAGAGCAGCACAUAUACAUGUAGGAACCAGACCAAAGGAAACGCUUCACUGAAUAGGAGCUUGCAGAGUUUGCGCGCCAAAUAUCGUACGUUACUAGUUGCUGCAACAGAAGUUAACAAGUGUCGUUACCGUCAUCAGUUCUUUUAAAUCUCUUUCUGAAUCUGUCUUGCUUGUAUUAAUAGAGUUUCUCUUGUGACUAUAUCUUUGACAGUUUGCCGGGAGUGCAUUAUGGAGAAAAUAAAUGACGAUGAAGUUGAAUGCUGCCCAGUAUGCAACAUUGAUCUUGGCUGCGAUCCUGAAGAGAAACUCAGGUGAACUAGUUGUUUAACUUUUGAGUCUCUUCUGUAAAAUAUUAUCUCUCCUUCGUUACUUCUGGCAAUUCCUUCUGCUUAUGAAUUCUUGUACGAGUGCAACCUUCAGUCAUUAAUAUGAUGUGAAAUUUUAGAUGUCAUAUUGUAGCUAAUAUGUAAUAAAACUGUGUACCUUGAAAACUUCUCUGUCGAACUCGACCGGUGAUGGUUCCAAGAUCAAGGGAUAGUCAAAGUGCAGAAAAAGGACUACAAGGAUUAUCACAACAGAUAAAACCCAUAUAUAAUCUAUUUGCCUAGGAUGUCUGCAAUUCAGACAAGUGAGCUCCGUCAUAAAUAUAGCUUGAUCUUGUUACUUUAAAAGUUUAAACCGUAAAGUACUAGGAAUAAACAUUAACUUUCCUUUGACACUGCUGUUUCCUUUUGAAGCUCUGAUUGCAUACAGCAUUUAUUGAAUCAGAGCUUAUUCCAUGUUCUAUUAAUAGUCUCACUAUGAUAUGCUCUUUUGUUCACAUAUCAUACCUGAUUGAAAAUUGUUUCUUAUGAUUAUCACUUGAAGGAGAGCACUAUCUUGUAAUUGCACCUUUACAGAUUGUACCUUUCAAUUUGACAAAAGCUGGAGAAACCAGCCUCUCUGAAGUUCCCUGCCUACGUUUUCCACCAUAUUUCCAAAUACACAUAUUUUCUUUUUUUGCCUCAAGUACCCGGUUUCUUAUUUGUGUGAAACAGAAUUGUCGGCCAUAGUGCUGCAGCUGUUUAUUUAUGUCUAUUGAGUUGAAUGAUCAACUGUGAAUUGUCACCUAACUGUGAUUGUUUCCUUGUAUGAAGACCUGACCACAACCUUCAAGAUAUCAGGAAUAAGCUAUUUCCAAUUAAGAAGAAAAAAGUUGAUUCUCUGAAGGCUCCAACAACAUUGCCAGCAAAGAGAAAACAGAGGUCCCUUUCUUCCUUGGUGGUUGACACUCCAAGCGUAGAGAAGUGGACUGGUUUGACUGGAAAGAGAACCAAAGCUAAAAGAAGGGCAGCAGCUUCUCGUGCAACUUCUUCCAGUAAUAAUGGAACCAUGAAGUUACCAGCUAAAUCUGAAGGUCGAGAUCAGAAGACUGAGAAAACCUCAGCACUGCAAUCUACCAAGGUGGCAAAAACAGCAAAGAAAAAUGAAAGUCGAGAUCAGAAGAUUGAGAAAGCUUCAGCACAACAAUCGACCAAGGCGGCAAUAGCUGCAAACAAAAAGCAGGUACAUAUGAAGAACUGUGAUGUUUGUGUAAUAUCAAAUGAUUUCGAGUGAAAGUUUGAUGUGAAUUCUCUUUGUAAACUUUUCUAGUUCUCAUAAAUCAUUAUCUUUCAAAACAGCGAAGUACAGAUGUAGAAGUCUCAAGUAAGCCAUAUUCUGAAGAUAAAAAGAAUGCCAAGAAAGCUGACAAGGUGGUUCAUGCUGCAAGGAAGGCAAAAGCACCUAGAUCAACUCCCAAAAUCCAUGGUGCCACUGAAGAGCAAAUAAAGAAGAAAGGGAGUGAACUCCCUAUAAGGAAAGAGGAGACAGAAAAUGAAGUGAAUAUUCCUGGAACAACGGUGGCGAAACGUUCAAAUGAGCUGAGUCAUAGAGAGGGGGCAGAAAACGAAGUGAAUAUUCCUGGGACAACGGUGGAAAAUAAUGGCACUUCCUCAGAACCUGCACCGUCGACAGAUCAAGCAACAACAGAGGAUAAUUCGAACCAAGGAUUGUCUGGUUCUGCAAGCACUUUGCAUGAUCCAAUAACCACUCCCGUCUGGUUCUCAUUAGUUUCUUCUCCUAACCAGUAAGAUCGCAUCAUCUCAGUGUUCAGAAUAUGAUUCACAUAAGACUAUUAUGCCUUUUAUCUAAGUUCAGUUCAAAAUGCUAACUUGUUUUCAGGAAAGGAGAUCUACAGCUGCCUGAGUUAUCAAAGAGUUACUUGAGAAUUAAGUGAGUUUCAUUAGUCCUGUAAUUUCUUUGUCUCUUUCUAUGCUAGAAAGCUCUUUUAUGUGCUGCCCUCUUAUUCUUAGGUUAGACUUAUCCAAUUAUUUGCCUGAUCUGUUCUCACCUGGCUAUUUGCCGUACCAAUGUACAAUGAUGAUGACGUAGGAAUGUUUUUCAGUAAUAAAUGAUAGUGGUAAAUUUUUAAUACCAUCCCUUUUUGGUUUAUUAACUAAUUAGAUUUCAGCUCUAAUAUUGAUACAGUGUUUUGUAUGUAUAAACACUAAUGAAAGUACCUAAAAAAACGUCGUCAUCUUGAGAAUUUGGGCCAACGAUCACAAUGUGUUCCAUGGGUGACUAUCUUAUAGGAACUUCUAUUAGGCAACUUGCAAGCUACACUGCUGAGCAGUCCAAUGUUUCACAGCUGUAGUGGCAUGCAUUCUGCUCCCAGAAUUCUAAUUUCUUUCUUCAAUAUGUUUUUUGUCUUUAUUUCAGAGAUGGCAGUUUGCAGAUUUCCUUUGUACAGAGGUACGUUGCGAAGAAACUGGAUAUAGGUGAUGAAAAUGAGGUGCAUUUCUCAUAUAUCACUCAUUCACUCCAUACACUUCCAUUUUUGUUGUUAGAUGAAACAAAAACCUGGGUCGGCCUCUUUGCAACUUGCUUGUUUUAGAGCAUUUGAUUGAUCAGCACAGGCUCAAUCUGAGAAUGUGGUAGACCACUAGAACACACAGGAUCGAUUUUUAGCAGUGAAAUCUGAUCGCCUUAGCUACGGAUAGAACCAAGUUUGUAGAUUUGGAUGGCAACAUCUGAGUUAUUCGCAGUCUCUGCCCAGCGUUUCUGCCCUGCAGAGCUGGGCUCUGAAAUGAUGUAGUCUUAACCUAUGACCAUUUCUGUAGUCUUGGCACCCGCAAGUAAGCCUUUCCAUGGCCUAUUUUGCGUGGCUUCCACAAAUCAGUUUCAGUUGCAAAUAUCCAAGGGAAUCUUGGAACCAUGUACUGAUGCAUAUAUAUACUUGCACAACUCAUAGUAACUUGCUGUUCUUCUGUACGUGAAGGCCUUUGGAUCAUGUCAAGAAAGCGCUAAUAAUUCUGAUGCAGAUGAAAAUGAUUCUGACUGAUCCCACCACCCAUUUAACUGAUUCCUCUAAUUUCUCUGUAACGGCAGGUGGAGAUCUUAUGCCACGGCAAGCCGGUCUGCCCCUCGAGCACGCUGCACGGGCUGGUGGACCUUUGGCCGCGGAGAGAGCCGGAGGAGCCCUUCCCGGCGUCGCUGGGCGCGCCGGCCAAGGAGUACGUCAUGGUGCUGUGCUACCGCCGCCGCCACCGCCCUUUGACGCCGGCAUCGUCGCCGCGCCACCAGACGACGAGCCCCGGUGAAGCUGAAGCCUCCUGCAACGGCGACGGCACCACCGCGGAGCCCGGCUGAAACUGCCGCGCUCUGUCCGUCGCUCCUGUCCAUCGUCAGAUCCUCCCAGUCAUAAGCCUAGGAUUAAAAGAAGAAGAAGAAAGAAAUUACCCCUAGAGUUUUUUUUCUCGUUUCUUAGACCUUGUAAAGAUGGAGUAAGCACCUUAAACAGUGAAUCCUGUUUACUUUUUUAGAACAUUUCUGACGAAAAACAAAAAAAAGUUAGGGUGAGAUCGAUCUUGUGUUCUUGCGCCGUGAUCCGUCGCUCCAUUGCCGUGCCAGGCAGUGCAUAGCGCGCUAUACUGCAAUGCCUAUACUGUGCUAGCAGCUAGGAUCAACGUUGUUGAUCGAGUAACUGCCGGCCGCGGCUGUUUCUGUCUCGUAGUGGUCACCUGGAAUGGACCUGCCCGUUGGUUUACGGUCUCUACAGCGGCCUGCUGCUGGCUGCUGCUCAGCAUCAUCAGCAUGGCAGCAUGGCUGGCAUUCCGAGCUGGAGCUCAGCCAUACGCUUGAGCUUGAGCCCCACACUUUCACGCACGUCAUGUCUGGAGGCUGGGUUGCCCGUGGCUCCUCCGCGUUGCUGACGCCGGCAGGCCAGGGGAGGAGUGGUUGACGAGCGAGCGAGCUGGUGAUGAUGGCCCAGGGAAAGGACGGGCGUGUGCGUGUCGUGUGACGGUGUGAUUCCCUUCUCCUCCAAGAAAGCGAGGGCGGCUUCUGAGCGAAGCAAAGCAGAUGCCGCGGCGGUUGACUUUGACUGUCCGUUACUGAACGUUAACUAUCGCUUCUUUUCGCUGAGGUCGACCAGAAACAACAGCACAACACGCGUCUGUCGUCGUCCCGGCAAGGCGGCAACAGCUCCUUCCCAAUAUUUGUUCCUGUCUUGUUUUUUGAAGAAAAAAAAACAGGCAGGAGCACUGCCAAAUCACUAGGCCAACGUUUAUCCCAGCAAACAACAGGAAAUACAACGUGUGCAGGAUCGAAAAAUUCAGCAAGACGUUACCGUUGGAGAUCCAAACGGCGCUUGCUUUUUUUUAAAAAAAAAAAGAGAGAGAGAGACCAGGAACAUUUGCCAGCAUAGAUUACUAAGAAGAAGAGAUUACAUGUGCAAGGAACACAGCUCAAACAAACAGCUCAACCAAGCCCAGAAAAAGGAAAAGGGAUUACUUGCUAAUGAUGGUACAACCAAAGCUGCAAGGGACUAGCUUGGCCCCAGCAAGGCACCAAGUUCUUGCCUCUUGCAGUGAAGUCCCCUUGCAGGAUGAUCAUGAUGGCACCAAUUUGCAAAUACCCUAUCCAAAUUGUUUUCUCGUCCUGUGAUUUCGCUCCUUCUUAAUGCACCGGAUGAACAGGAUGGCAAAAGUAUGGACUCCGUUGAAGCUUGAUCCCGAAUCCCGAUGCUACCAACAACGUACUGAACCAACCAACCCAUGCAGCAGAGACUAGAGAGUAGUGGUCCACUGCAAAUUGACAGAGUUUGUGAACUGCAUUGAAAAACCAUCCCACUGGGAAAGCAUUCUGAACCUGAAGAAGGAACACGGAGGUUUCAGCCUGAAUGGUUCAGAAAUUCAGGCAAGUGCCACAGCAAAAUGUCACCAAAACUGACGCACAGCAAAUGCAAUAUAGUUAACUGCUAUAAGAAAGCAUAGUUCCCACAUUACAGCUGGGCAUCUCCGGCUACUGCUUAUCCAAUGUUAGAGGCCAAGCAGGUAUGCAGGCAGCACUUCCCAAUCACAGAAGGAAGAGAACCCAAUUGGACAGAAAAUACACUACACAUGCACAGUCAAGUUCAGCAGCAUCCAAUGUUUCAGACAGAAAAGGACACAACGCGAUUUUCACAUCAAAAUUCAGGCCAUGAUACUAGACUUCACAUAUACAGAGACAGUCUGGAGGUCAAUGGUGAUGGACACACACAAGCUCUGCAGGGCUAUGGAAGUAUGGAUCUAUGUCAAGUCAGAUACAUACAUUUCUGUUUGUAUGCAGGCUGCACUUUCUACAUUACUAAAGUUAUGGAAAUCUACAAAUUCAAUGAGAGCUGAGCUUGAAACAUCAGCAUUAGAAUGUGCAGGCAAAAUUGCAUUUAUCAUUCUCAGAUAUAACAGAUUCACAUAUGAACACCAUACCAAUCACCAACUGAAUCUAGCAAUGGCUUCAUAUGUUCAUAGCACCAUUGCAUCUCACCACAAAUAUGAUAUGACAAGCAAAUCUAGCAUGUUUACACACCCACAAGACAACCAAAUAUUAGACUCCGUGAUCAAAUCCAACUGCUAAGCCUGGUAAUUACAAAGAAACUGCGAUUGCAACCAAUAAGGCAAUAACAUCAGCCCUGUCGAAAGUGCAUCUUGGAAACCGUCAUCGUACCAUGGCCAGCCGCUGGAUCAACCAAUGCGGACGUAGGUGGGCAGGAUGGGCCCCGCGGCGCUCAUGCCGGCUGCCACCAGGCCGUUCCCGGCCGCCUCCUCCUCCGUGAGGAAGAGGUCGUCGGUGGAGCGCAGCGCGGCGUGGGCGCCUACCAGCGUGCCCCCGAUCAUGACGGAGCCGACGACGUUCCACCCGACGUUGGUGAAGAGCAUGGCGACGACGGUGACGCCGCAGAGCGCGGCGAGGACGGUGCCGUCGUCGAACUCCACCCCGAAGACCCUGAGCGGCUGCCCUCCCUGGGCGGGGCGCGCGAAGUAGAGGAAGAACCAGGCGGCGCAGAGGAAGAGGAGCGCGAAGAGCGUGCCAGGGUGCCAGAGCAGCGAGGCCGCGACGACGGCGAGCACGGCCAGCGCGUAGUUGGCGCGGAAGUAGGCGGUGUUGCGGCGCAUCCGGGCGAGCGCCUCCCCGAGGGAGGGCGGCUUGGAGAAGGCCGGCACGCGGAGGACCUCGGCCCAGGGGCGGCGCGCCGCGAUGAGCGCCUGGCCCUGCUCGCGGAACCGCGUGACGAGCUCGGCCGCCUUGGUCAGCGGGGACGGCGGCGCCGUGGGGUCGUGGAUCGGGCCCGCUUGGGUGGAGACCUGUGGCGGGGGAGGGUUGGGGUAGGCCGACGGGGGCGCGGGGUAGGCGGGGAUCUUGGCGUAGGCGGCGCUGCCGCCGGAGGAGGAGGGCGCCGGGUAGGUGUACCCGCCGCCGGCGGGGGCGGAAGAGGCCGGCGCGACGUAGGCGGGUACGGAGCCGUACAUGGCGGCGGGGGGAGGGGGCUGGGCGGCGGCGGAGUUGCGCAUGGUCGGGGGAGAUCGGAUUUGCUGGAGGGAGGAGGAGGUUGGGGAAAGGUGGGGAGAAGAAUACGACGCGGCCACGCACGCUGAGCUGGUUUGAGUCCUUGAUUUACCCACGACUCGAGGGAGGGAAUUGGGAUGAUUGCGCGGCGGCGUGAUUCGCUGGAAAAAG